rnacentral:siRNA from 1 species
AGACUCAGUUUUAUGCCGUUUA